CAGUCGCCGGGGAAUACGUAGGUGGCAAGCGUUGUCCGGAAUUAUUGGGCGUAAAGGGCUCGCAGGCGGUUUCUUAAGUCUGAUGUGAAAGCCCCCGGCUCAACCGGGGAGGGUCAUUGGAAACUGGGAAACUUGAGUGCAGAAGAGGAGAGUGGAAUUCCACGUGUAGCGGUGAAAUGCGUAGAGAUGUGGAGGAACACCAGUGGCGAAGGCGACUCUCUGGUCUGUAACUGACGCUGAGGAGCGAAAGCGUGGGGAGCGAACAGGAUUAGAUACCCCCGUAGUCCCUGUCUCUUAUACA
rnacentral:rRNA from 1 species